rnacentral:rRNA from 1 species
UACGUAGGGGGCAAGCGUUAUCCGGAUUUACUGGGUGUAAAGGGAGCGUAGACGGCUUUGCAAGCCAGAUGCGAAAGCCCGGGGCUCAACCCCGGGACUGCAUUUGGAACUGUAUGGCUGGAGUGUCGGAGAGGCAGGCGGAAUUCCUAGUGUAGCGGUGAAAUGCGUAGAUAUUAGGAGGAACACCAGUGGCGAAGGCGGCCUGCUGGACGAUGACUGACGUUGAGGCUCGAAAGCGUGGGGAGCAAACAGG